GCUCGCUUCGGCAGCGCAUAUACUACAAUUGGAAUGAUACAGAGAAGAUUAGUAUGGCCCCUUGCAUUUGCAUGACGUGCAAAUUCAUGAAGCAUUCCGUAUUUUU